AUGGUGAAGCUCUGGAAAACAACACAUUUCUCUCAGGCUAUUUCAGCCAUUUCUCAGGGAGUAACGGAGAACAUAUCUUCCUUUCUCCAGGACAGCCCUCAGAUUUCUGAAGACAGCAGCCAUGGUGACAAGUUGUCUUUCCAGGUCAGGUGGCUGCAAUUCUUCCAGAUUUCUCUGGUUUCCACCCUUUCUGGACACACAGCUGCCUGCCAACCUUGCACUCAAGGUGUCCUGGAUCAGCUAUAGCAGAUGCUGACAAUGCCCCCCACCACCACCACCAACAAAAUUUCAGAGCCAGAAGUGACCUUGAGCCUCGUCUCUAAAUCUCCCAGCCUACAGAUGGGGAAACUGAGGCUCGGGAAGGGGAAGGGACUUUCUAAAAUUUCAAAGUGAAACCUGGUGGCCGAAUAGAGAUUUUUUUAAACCCAGGUUACCCAGCUUCCAGAUGAAGAGUUGAUCCAUUCUCCCAGUGUAUUUCAAACUUUUCUGAUUCUGACUCAGAUUGAGAAAUAUACUGUAAUUCCCAUCUAGAACAAAGUCACACCCACACAUGGUGUGUUCGGAUAAAACAUCUUUGUAUCAGAAUAUUCACAACACGAUAUGUAUUUCUCCAUUCAAUAAACUGCAUGUUCAAUUAAUUCUAUGUCA
rnacentral:lncRNA from 12 species